AAGGUUACCGCACGUUCUUCUCAGUUGUUCACGUGCUGUUUAUUGCUAGGUUGAACGUCCAGCUGUUGAUCUUGUGCCUGGGGUGAAGUGCUCUGAGCUGUGUCAGUCCCUCCCAGGCUGGGAGUGCCCCUGGAAUCCUUCUUGCCAGGCAAAUUUACUGUGACAAACGUCUCCGUCAUCCUGCCUCUGACUGCAGUGGACAAGCCCUAGCUGGGGAUCCCAGUAGGCUUGGCAAGCCGGUCAAUUGACUGCCUGUUUGGCCGCAGUCAAAUAGUGUCAAAUACUCCAGCAAGAACCCUGGGUCUAGGAGGCAGCGUGAUUUUUGAUUGCAUCAUGGAGCCUCACUUGUGUUUUCAAGACUUGGUUUCAGUGUUUCACUUUUUAAUCUGAGUUAAAAUAACUCAGUUAAAUAAUUUUUUUAAAAUUAGGCAUAAGUAUCUAUCUAAAGCUAAAGCUACUGGAGACAAUGACGUCUUGCUCUUUUUUUUGUUACUGUUCUGAUAAAUUGGUAUUUUAAAAUAUUUGACCAUUUGUUUUUUUUAUGACACAUUUGAUGUACCAGUCAAAUGCCCAAUUUUAGGUGCAACUCUUACCUUCCAUAUUACUUUCUCAUUCUCAGUGCUGGCAUCUAAGCUUUCAUCAGCUGAUCUGUGCCCCCCUGUUAGACCCUCGUGCCCAGAAAGCUGGAUCGGAUACCGAGGGAAAUGCUACCAUUUCUCAGAGUUGGAAGGGAACUGGACCUACAGCCGGAGCCACUGCUCUGCAUUGGGUGCCUCCCUGGCUGGAAUGGACAGUGAGCAGGAAAUGGUUUCAGAUAAGAGGAGGAGGUGACUGCGCGUAUCUGAAUGACGAGAAGGGGUCAGCAGCUCACGGUGCUACAUGGAAAGACGGUGGAUCUGUAGCAAACCUGAGGUGUUUGUGAUGGGAAAAGAGACUGCAUUGGAAGGGGGCUCGAAAUAAGACUCCUAGAAAUGACACUGAUAUAACUCACACAUAUUUGAA